rnacentral:rRNA from 1 species
AUUGAACGCUGGCGGCAGGCCUAACACAUGCAAGUCGAACGAGGGGCGGAAGGGUGAGUAAUGUCUGGGAAACUGCCUGAUGGAGGGGGAUAACUACUGGAAACGGUAGCUAAUACCGCAUACCAUCGGAUGUGCCCAGCGGGGAUUAGCGAGUAGGUGGGGUAAAGGCUCACCUAGGCGACGAUCCCUAGCGGGUCUGAGAGGAUGACCAGCCACACUGGAACUGAGACACGGGCGAGGCUCCUACGGUGUGCAGCAGUGGGGAAUAUUGCACAAGGGGCGCAAGUCUGAUGCAGCCAUGCCGCGUGUAUGAAGAAGGCCUUCGGGUUUUAAAGUACUUUCAGCGGGGAGGCGUUACCCGCAGAAGAAGCACCGGCUAACUCCGUGCCAGCAGCCGCGGUAAUUC